rnacentral:rRNA from 1 species
AUUGAACGCUGGCGGCAUGCCUUACACAUGCAAGUCGAACGGUAACAGGUCUUCGGAUGCUGACGAGUGGCGAACGGGUGAGUAAUACAUCGGAACGUGCCUAGUAGUGGGGGAUAACUACUCGAAAGGGUGGCUAAUACCGCAUGAGAUCUACGGAUGAAAGCAGGGGAUUGCAAGACCUUGUGCUACUAGAGCGGCCGAUGGCAGCUUAGGUAGUUGGUGGGAUAAAAGCUUACCAAGCCGACGAUCUGUAGCUGGUCUGAGAGGACGAUCAGCCACACUGGGACUGAGACACGGCCCAGACUCCUACGGGAGGCAGCAGUGGGGAAUUUUGGACAAUGGGCGCAAGCCUGAUCCAGCAAUGCCGCGUGCAGGAUGAAGGCCUUCGGGUUGUAAACUGCUUUUGUACGGAACGAAAAGCCCUGGGUUAAUACCCUGGGGUCAUGACGGUACCGUAAGAAUAAGCACCGGCUAACUACGUGCCAGCCGCCGCCGUAACAC